rnacentral:lncRNA from 1 species
CAGGCUUCAAAGAGAACCAGCAUCUCUAUUCUGUGCAGCACCCAGCCUGCUCUCUUUGCUCCAACAGUAAGAAUACCAAACAAGGAAUGCUGCAAUUGAUCCUAGGCAAUAGAAAGUACUUGAAUAUUAAACAAGAAAUAAAUAGGUAAGUUAAGUUAUAUAAUACAUUCUUGUUUCUAAUCUAACUCUGUAUCCACAGUUUUGUGAAAAGCAAACCUUUUCUUGGAUGUUCCUGCAUGCAUUCAUUACUUACCUGUGUUCUGGCUGACAAAAUUUUCAAGAAGUGACUUGUGUGUCUUUGUACCUGUAAGCCAUGAAAACCCUCUGGAGUAGUCUUGCAUGUUGCAGCCACUGUUGGAUAAAUGUAGUAUUCUUUGGUAGGAUAAUCAGCUAAAGAAUGGCUUUGGUUUUGAACUUUCCCCUCCUCUGAUGCCUUUUUGAUAGUAAAACACUGUGCUGUAGUUUUCUGGAGCCCAUCUGAAAAUAUUUUUGCAACCCUGUUCCUAAAUGUGGAAUACUGUACCUGGGCUUGGUCACAAGUUAAUAGUAAAAAAACCAAGAAAAUAUAUCAGUUGUUGGAAAAAAAAGUUUGAGAGAAGACUCAGAAAAACUGCCCUGAAUUUUUUUUUUUAAUGGAGUUAGAAUAGGGUUUGCAAUAAUAACAAGGCAUGUAGUUGCACUGACAUUCUUUAUUUCCAAUUACUAUGGAAGCAGCACAGCACAGGUCACCUGUGAUCAAACUAAACUUUUACAGUUGAAAUAAACAAGAAUGAAACCAAGUUCUUGGACUGAAGGCCGUGGUUACUAUUUUCCUACAAGCUGUUGUUCUAGGCUGCAGCAAGUUCUGCUCUGCUGUAGAGUCAGUACUUGGCUCUCCGCUCAGCUCCCAAGUGGCCUGUCCACCUUCUUGCACUCCAGUGUUCCCAAUUUGUUCCAUGCCUUCCUCUUUGUAUGGGUCUCUGCUGUAGUCCAGGGGGGACUCUCAGAUCAACCAGAAUCAGAGCCAGCAGCACUGAAAGGAUUGCCGUCUUCCUCAGCAUUGUUACCCGAAGGCCACGUUGAACGCAGACGUUGGGAAGCAAGGGAAAGAAGUUUGGAGUACCUAGCUGACAGGAAGCUCUGGCUAUUUAAAGGCAGGCCCAUGACUCUGCCCACUUCAGAGUCUUCCUGGAAGUAGCGGGUUGCAAAAACAAUGUCCCGAUUACAUUCUCAAAGUGCAUUUAGGGCCUGUCAGGCCCCCUCGUUGCUAUGGGGAGGGAUGACCUUU